GAUGAACGCUGGCGGCGUGCCUAAUACAUGCAAGUCGAGCGAACAGACGAGGAGCUUGCUCCUCUGACGUUAGCGGCGGACGGGUGAGUAACACGUGGAUAACCUACCUAUAAGGCUGGGAUAACUUCGGGAAACCGGAUCUAAUACCGGAUAAUAUAUUGAACCGCAUGGUUCAAUAGUGAAAGACGGUUUUGCUGUCACUUAUAGAUGGAUCCGCGCCGCAUUAGCUAGUUGGUAAGGUAACGGCUUACCAAGGCGACGAUGCGUAGCCGACCUGAGAGGAUGAACAGGCAGAGUGGGACUGAGACACGGACGAGACGCCUACGGGAGGACGCAGUGGGGAAUAGUGGACAAUGGGCGAAAGACUGAUCCAGCCAUGCCGAGGGUGAGAAGAAGGUCUUCGGAUUGUAAAGCACUUUAAGUUGGGAGAAAGGGCAGUAAGGUAAUACCGUGCUGUUUUGACGUUACCAACAGAAUAAGCACCGGCUAACUUCGUG
rnacentral:rRNA from 1 species